UCUCCGUAGGUGAACCUGCGGAGGGAUCAUUACUGAGUGAGGGUUUAACCGCCCGACCUCCAACCCUUUGUGAAUCGUACUCGUUGCUUCGGGGGCGACCCUGCCGUCCGCGGCUGAGCGCCCCCGGGGUCAAUCAAACACUGCAUUCUCUGCGUCGGAGUAUUAGUAAAUCUAAUCAAAACUUUCAACAACGGAUCUCUUGGUUCUGGCAUCGAUGAAGAACGCAGC
rnacentral:misc_RNA from 1 species